rnacentral:lncRNA from 1 species
GGCAAGAGUUGUCCUGCCCACUGAAGACGGCACCAAAGGAAUGAAGAUUGUUCAGGGGUCUUGCAUAGAUCAAUGACCAAGCAAGUGACAGAAGAUGUUGGGCUCAAAACACCAGAACACAUUCAGUCAUCAGCCUGUCUCUGUGCUCUCUCUUCCCAUCCAGCCAAUGAGGAAACAGAACAGAAUAUGGCUUGCUGGGCCAUCCAGCUCUUCACAGAUCAAUCCCAAUCCUACUACAAAUGGUGUCCUUACCAAAACCAGCCAGAAGAGCACAUGUGACCAGGAAGCCCCAGUGACUGGACAUGCUCAGGGUCCAGCUGCUAUGACAGUGAGAGCGUUCUGCUGAAGGCCCUGCUGGAGUUGACGUGAAACGAGCCGUGCAGCUUGUUGGAGCUCACACCAGAUUUCCUCCUUUCCCUGUCCUGUUGUGUGUACACCAUUAACCUGGGUGAGCUUAUUCCAGUCAGAGGACCUGGAACUGGAGAGGACGAGGAAGUAUUUUAUCACACCAUAUGGCUAUGCUGCUGAGACUUUGUUCUUAGGAGCCAAAGGAUACCCUGUCCUUACUUCCAACCAGGCAGGAAAGCCAUCCCUAGCCCUUCCAAGGGGUGAGAGCCCAGCAGAGCCUAGAGGAGGAGAGGGUAGGUCCUCUUCAGUGAAUGUUGCCAGUUAAUGUCGGUGCUCAAGAAUCUGGCCAAGUUCAAGUCCAGCAUGAGAGAGCCCCAGAGCAGCCAGGGGUCCUCGGGCAGACCCUCUAGAAAUUAAAGAACGCUCUGAACCUGUUCUUCAACAAGGUGGCCAAGCCCAGUCAGGAGCUUCAUGGUUUGAGGACGUUUAUCAUUUAUUAGUUUCAGGCAUAAGUAGUAGCUCACAGUGGUGUGAACUUGCCUAGUGCCAGCAGCACCCUGAGCCACACUGACCUCUUACGAGCCACAGGCCUUGGCCAAAUUGUAGUCAUCUCUGCUUUUCAUAGCCCUUGGAUGUAAAAUAAGAACACUGCCCAUUUACCCACAGGAGAUUAUAUACAUACAUAUAUAAUUUUAUUUUGUGUCUGUGGUGGUCAGCUAUAUAUGACAGGAAAGCUAUCUGUGGGAAUUUUGAAGGGAUUGCAAUGAAACAUGCACUUAUUGUUUUUUUUAAUGCCCUACAUCUUGUUAAUGCUUGGUAAAGAGUUCUCCCUCUCCCUCCCCCGUUUCUCCCCCUGUCGCUCCCCUCCCUCC